GACGAGGUGGCCGAGUGGUUAAAGCAAUGAACUGCUAAACCAUUGGGCUCUGCCCGCCUGGGUUCAAAUCCCAUCCUCGUCG
rnacentral:tRNA from 1 species